UUUCUUCUUCUUCUUCUUCUUCUUCUCUGUUUCUCUCUUCUCCUCUCUGUUUAUUUGGAGCUCAGAGAUUUGAGCCUCUUCUGUCGAGAAAUUCUUAUAAACCUUGUUAGCUUGAUGAACUGAGUGAGGAGGUGAUGUUGCUGCUGUCGAUUGAGUUCCGGAAAAGCAGAAUUCUGUUAGUCCUUAUUAACAACGAUCGAUUCAAAGGAUGAACCGGCGGAUUGAGGAAUUCAAGGUAGGAGUGGCUUGUCAUCAAAUCAGUUAUUCUGUAUUAACAACGAUCGAUUCAAAGGAUAAACCAGCGGAUUGAAGAAUUCAAGGUAGGAGUGGCUUGUCAUCAAAUCAGGUGGGAACUUUGUAACCUUCUUGUAAUGAUUAAGCUUUAUUUUAUCUGCAAGCAUGACGAGUCUUUACUAUUUGUGUGCAUGAUAUCGUAUACUGUGAUGUUUUAUUUUUCCUGUAUCUUGAGUAUGACGUAUAUGUUGCAUCUGUAUGUACGGUGUUGCUAUGAUGUGUUGUGUUGAUAUGCAUUGUGAGAUUUCCCUGCGAGGAGUGACUGUGUUCCCCACGGCUCUUAGCUAAGUUAAGUAAGGUGGUAAUUCAUCCGUCGACAAUAUUAUUUAGUAGGGCGGUAAUUCAUCCGUUUAAAUAUUAUUAUAAUUAUUUCAUUACUAGGUCGUUAAUCCAUCCGUUAUAAUAUUAUGCUUCUUAAUAUAGUAGGGCGGUAACUCAUCCGUUUGAAUAUUACAGUAGUAGGGCGGUAAUUCAUCCGUUAUGAUAUUAUAUAUACUAUUUUAUUUGAGGGAAAUCACUCGUGUGCAUAUUAUACUUGUUUGUCCAACUUUCUGAUCUUGGUGGUAAUAUUUUGAAUCAUGGUUUGUAUGAGCACUCUGUGUGGACGAUGUUGUUAUUAUUGAUUAGGGUUGCUUUCGCGUCGUCUUCUCCAAUGAGUUUGGCGAGGUUAGAGUGACACUUGCUUCGUAAUGCAUAAAUUGUUGUAUGAUUAGUUUAUUCUUAUUUUCUUUCAAUUUAUAUUCUUUAGUACCGUGGAACAUGUUAGUGAUUACUUGAGAGUUAUAUGUUUCCAUUGGGCACCCCUUUUGGAAUAUGUGCUCACUCGUUCCCACUUCAGUAAUCAGAAGAAAAGGUGCGCGUGAAGAUAUGUGUUUUCGUAGCUUAAAGCUUUUUAUCGAAUUAGAUAUGUAAUGCUAGCUUCUGUUAUGUUUAUUUCGUGAUUAUAUUCUAUUUGUAAAUCAA